UUUGGACAAUGGGCGCAAGCCUGAUCCAGCAAUGCCGCGUGCAGGAUGAAGGCCUUCGGGUUGUAAACUGCUUUUGUACGGAACGAAAAGGUCUGCCCUAAUACGGCGGGCUCAUGACGGUACCGUAAGAAUAAGCACCGGCUAACUACGUGCCAGCAGCCGCGGUAAUACGUAGGGUGCGAGCGUUAAUCGGAAUUACUGGGCGUAAAGCGUGCGCAGGCGGUUAUAUAAGACAGAUGUGAAAUCCCCGGGCUCAACCUGGGACCUGCAUUUGUGACUGUAUAGCUAGAGUACGGUAGAGGGGGAUGGAAUUCCGCGUGUAGCAGUGAAAUGCGUAGAUAUGCGGAGGAACACCGAUGGCGAAGGCAAUCCCCUGGACCUGUACUGACGCUCAUGCACGAAAGCGUGGGGAGCAAACAGGAUUAGAUACCC
rnacentral:rRNA from 1 species